rnacentral:rRNA from 1 species
CCUACGGGAGGCAGCAGUGAGGAAUAUUGGUCAAUGGCCGGAAGGCUGAACCAGCCAUGCCGCGUGAAGGUCAGUGCCCUAUGGGCGUUAAACUUCUUUUGUGCGGGAGCAAUAAUGGUCACGUGUGGCCAGACGAGAGUACCGUACGAAUAAGCAUCGGCUAACUCCGUGCCAGCAGCCGCGGUAAUACGGGGGAUGCAAGCGUUUUCCGGAUUUAUUGGGUUUAAAGGGUGCGUAGGCUGUGAGGUAAGUCAGCGGUGAAAUGCCCCCGCUCAACGGGGUGAAGUGCCAUUGAUACUGGCUGGCUGGAAUGCGGAUGCCGUAGGAGGAAUGUGUGGUGUAGCGGUGAAAUGCAUAGAUAUCACACAGAACACCGAUUGCGAAGGCAUCUCACGAAUCCGCGAUUGACGCUGAUGCACGAAAGCGUGGGUAUCAAACAGGAUUAGAUACCCCAGUAGUC